UUUUGCCCCAGAUUGUAGUGGAAAGCUUUUAUUGAAGAAAGCUAGUUUUUGUUAGGAUAAAAAAGCGACCAACGGAAGCUCUUUUUAUUCUUUACAAAAACAGCUUUGUGAAAUAAAACUUGCAACGGAAAGCUGGAUUAGGC
rnacentral:sRNA from 1 species